rnacentral:rRNA from 1 species
AUUCCAGCUCCAAUAGCGUAUAUUAAAAUUGCUGCAGUUAAAAAGCUCGUAGUUGGAUCUUGGGCGCAGGCCGGCGGUCCGCCGCAAGGCGCGCCACUGCCCGCCUGGCCUUCCUCUCGGUCUCCGUCCGGUUCUCUUGACUGAGUGCCGGACGCGGCCGAAACGUUUACUUUGAAAAAAUUGGAGUGUUCAAAGCAGGCCCUGAGCCUGGACAGCAGAGCAUGGAAUAAUGGAAUAGGACCUCGGUUCUAUUGCGUUGGUUUUCGGAUCUCGAGGUAAUGAUUAAGAGGGACUGACGGGGGCAUUCGUAUUGCGGUGUGAGAGGUGAAAUUCUUGGAUCGCCGCAAGACGACCGACUGCGAAAGCAUUUGCCAAGAAUGUUUUCAUUG